GAUGAACGCUGGCGGCGUGCCUAAUACAUGCAAGUCGAGCGAACAGACGAGGAGCUUGCUCCUCUGACGUUAUCGGCGGACGGGUGAGUAACACGUGGAUAACCUACCUAUAAGACUGGGAUAACUUCGGGAAACCGGAUCUAAUACCGUAUAAGAUAUUGAACCACAUGGUUCAAUAGUGAAAUACGGUUUUGCUGUUACUAAUAGAUGCAGCGGCGCCGCAUUAGCUAGUUGGUAAGGUAACGGCUUACAAAGGCAACGAUGCGUAGCCGACCUGGGAGGGUGAUCGGCCACACUGGAACUGAGACACGGUCCAGACUCCUACGGGAGGCAGCAGUAGGGAAUCUUCCGCAAUGGGCGAAAGCUGGACGGAGCAACGCCGCGUGAGUGAUGAAGGUCUUCGGAUCGUAAAACUCUGUUAUUAGGGAAGAACAAAUGUGUAAGUAACUAUGCACGUCUUGACGGUACCUAAUCAGAAAGCCACGGCUAACUACGUG
rnacentral:rRNA from 1 species